rnacentral:rRNA from 1 species
UACAGAGGUGGCAAGCGUUGUUCGGAAUUACUGGGCGUAAAGGGCGCGUAGGCGGCCUUCUAAGUCAGACGUGAAAUCCCCCGGCUUAACCUGGGAACUGCGUCUGAUACUGGGAGGCUUGAGUAUGGGAGAGGGAUGUAGAAUUCCAGGUGUAGCGGUGAAAUGCGUAGAUAUCUGGAGGAAUACCGGUGGCGAAGGCGGCAUCCUGGACCAUAACUGACGCUGAGGCGCGACAGCUAGGGGAGCAAACGGG